AACUCCCGGGUCAAGAGCAAAGCCUUCAGAGCGGGGGACUUAGUACUUUGGUGAGCCGAUGUUUCAUAACCUCAGAUCCAAGGAAAACUUGUCCUGAACUGGGAAGGCCCGUAUGAAGUCAAAGAGGUAGUCCGGCCCAGAACAUACUAUCUAAAAGAGCUCGGAGGAGUAGACCUUUCGCGAUCAUGGAAUUUGAAAAAUCUACGAAUGUAUUACCGAUAACUUUGCCUUAAAUAAAAGUUUCUUAUUCGC
rnacentral:lncRNA from 1 species